rnacentral:rRNA from 1 species
GUCCCAGCCCUAAACGAUGUCCACCAGGUACCGGGGGGAUCGACCCCCUCGGCGCCGCAGCUAACGUGAUGAGUGGACCGCCUGGGGAGUACGGCCGCAAGGUUGAAACUCAAAGGAAUUUACGGGGGCCCGCACAAGCAGCUGAGCGUGUGGUUUAAUUCGAUGCAACGCGAAGAACCUUACCUGGGCUUGACAUGUGAUUGCACCGCGGGUAACGCCGCGUCCCCUUCGGGGGCGGUCACACAGGUGCUGCAUGGCUGUCGU